GAAGAAAUACUUACCUCUUUAUCUUCUUCUGUCAUACUGUUCCAGUAUUCAGACAUACCUUUCACAUAUUGCUGGAAAACCAAUAGGGCAUAUCUUCUGUCCAACA